rnacentral:rRNA from 1 species
CGUGGGGGUAAUUGGAAAUGGGGGAAGCCUGAUCCAUCCAUGCCGCGUGUGGGAAGAAGGCCUUCGGGUUGUAAAGCUCUUUUAGUUGGGAGGAAGGGGAUUUGACUAAUACGUAAUUGUUUUGAAGUUACCGAGAGAAUAAGCCCCGGGUACAUCUGAGCCACCAGCCGCGGAAAUCA